rnacentral:rRNA from 1 species
UACGUAGGGUGCAAGCGUUGUCCGGAAUUAUUGGGCGUAAAGAGCUCGUAGGCGGUUUGUUGCGUCGGCUGUGAAAUCCCGAGGCUCAACCUCGGGUCUGCAGUCGAUACGAGCAAACUAGAGUGUUGCAGGGGAGACUGGAAUUCCUGGUGUAGCGGUGAAAUGCGUAGAUAUCAAGAGGAACACCUGCGGCGAAGGCGGGUUGCUGGGCCGACACUGACGCUGAGGCGCGAAAGCUAGGGGAGCGAACGGG